rnacentral:misc_RNA from 1 species
GAUGAAGAACGCAGCGAAAUGCGAUAAGUAAUGUGAAUUGCAGAAUUCAGUGAAUCAUCGAAUCUUUGAACGCACCUUGCGCUCUUUGGUAUUCCGAAGAGCAUGCCUGUUUGAGUGUCAUGAAAAUAUCAACCUUGACUUGGGUUUUGUGCUCUAGUCUCGGCUUGGAAUUGGGUGCUUGCCGCUUUUACGAGCGGCUCACCUUAAAUGUAUUAGCUGGAUCUGUCUUUGAGACUUGGUUUGACUUGGCGUAAUAAGUAUUUCGCUAAGGACAUUCUUCGGAGUGGCCUCGUUUCUAGGACGCUUGUCCGCUUUCCAAUACAAGUUCCACCUCGUGGACAUGACUUUUUAUUAUCUGGCCUCAAAUCAGGUAGGACUACCCGCUGAACUUAAGCAUAUCAAUAAGAGGAGGA